rnacentral:rRNA from 1 species
UUUAUGGAGAGUUUGAUCCUGGCUCAGGAUGAACGCUGGCGGCGUGCCUAAUACAUGCAAGUCGAGCGAACGGACGAGAAGCUUGCUUCUCUGAUGUUAGCGGCGGACGGGUGAGUAACACGUGGAUAACCUACCUAUAAGUCUGGGAUAACUUCGGGAAACCGGAGCUAAUACCGGAUAAUAUUUUGAACCGCAUGGUUCAAAAGUGAAAGACGGUCUUGCUGUCACUUAUAGAUGGAUCCGCGCUGCAUUAGCUAGUUGGUAAGGUAACGGCUUACCAAGGCAACGAUGCAUAGCCGACCUGAGAGGGUGAUCGGCCACACUGGAACUGAGACACGGUCCAGACUCCUACGGGAGGCAGCAGUAGGGAAUCUUCCGCAAUGGGCGAAAGCCUGACGGAGCAACGCCGCGUGAGUGAUGAAGGUCUUCGGAUCGUAAAACUCUGUUAUUAGGGAAGAAUAUAUGUGUAAGUAACUGUGCACAUCUUGAC